rnacentral:rRNA from 3 species
UACGUAUGGAGCGAGCGUUGUCCGGAAUUAUUGGGCGUAAAGGGUGCGCAGGCGGCUUUACAAGUUGGAUGUGAAAUAUUGUGGCUCAACCACAAACGUGCAUCCAAAACUGCAAAGCUUGAGUUAAGGAGAGGUAAGUGGAAUUCCUGGUGUAGCGGUGGAAUGCGUAGAUAUCAGGAGGAAUACCGGUGGCGAAGGCGACUUACUGGACUUAAACUGACGCUCAGGCACGAAAGCGUGGGGAGCAAACAGG